rnacentral:rRNA from 1 species
GUAGGUGGCAAGCGUUGUCCGGGAAUUAUUGGGGCGUAAAGCGCGCGCAGGCGGUUCUUUAAGUCUGAUGUGAAAGCCCACGGGCUCAACCGUGGGAGGGUCAUUGGAAACUGGAGAACUUGAGUACAGAAGAGGAAAGCGGAAUUCCACGUGUAGCGGUGAAAUGCGUAGAGAUGUGGAGGAACACCAGUGGCGAAGGCGGCUUUCUGGUCUGCAACUGACGCUGAGGCGCGAAAGCGUGGGGAGCAAACAGGAUUAGAUACCCUGGUAGUCCACGCCGUAAACGAUGAGUGCUAAGUGUUAGGGGGUUUCCGCCCCUUAGUGCUGCAGCUAACGCAUUAAGCACUCCGCCUGGGGAGUACAGCCGCAAAGGCUG